AAAGGUGGCUCUUUCCUAAACGAUUCUAGGUUCGAUUCUAUGACCUUCGGCUCUACGAUGGACAACGCACACACAGAAAUAGAAGUCUUAGGCCAGCGUAAGCAGAGUAUUUAAUUUCCCACGAAAACUAGACCUCUCUUGGUUAAAACAGAAAAAGUCUUUC